rnacentral:lncRNA from 1 species
GGGUUUUACUGUGUUACUCUAGCAAGCUUUAAGUGACGGGGAUAAUUUCCCUGCUGCACACGGGCGGGUGACAUAUGUGGUCACGCCGGGCUUCUCUGAGAAGCCCGUGGCUGGUGGCACAGAGCAGAGAUGGGGGGAAAUGCAGUUGACUCUUGCAUAACGAGGGCGGUCUGGAUAGACAUAGCUCAGGUGGCCGUCUCUCCGUCCAGGUGGAAGCAGAAAGUGUCCCAGAAAGACACGGAUUGAGCUCUGGAUUCCCAAGCAGCAAUGGUCAGAGGUGGGAUCUGCAGAGCCGGCUGGAUCAGGAGGGUAAUGACGUCACAAAGGGGGCAGUCCACAGGCUUCAUGCAAUGGAAUCACAGUAAGAAAAAGAAGAAACAGAUGAAACCAACUCUAUGAGCUUGGCACUGAGUUCAAAAGAACAAUGCCCAUCUUCACAUGGAAGUGGUUCUAAGGCAAAGAUCUCUCUGACUGGAAUAUUAAGCUUCUAGACAAGAUGGGGAAAGAAGGUUAGGACUAAAACCCUCUCCCCCUGCAUCUCCUGAAGUCAUCCUGGUUUCUGAUAUUUGGAGUGCGGACAAAGACUUUUUAGUUUUGGAGAACCGUUUGGAAUUUGUGCAGCUUGCAGGACUCUGGAACUGAUGCUAGGCACAGAAAUCACAGGAACUGGUCCAACCAUCACACCUGCCAAUACUGAAAUUCUUUUCCCUCUUCCAGGUCCAGCUUCUAUGUCUGUUAUGUUGAAAAUAAACACUGGGUGGAGGACAU